GACGAACGCUGGCGGCGUGCCUAAUACAUGCAAGUUGAGCGCUGAAGGUUGGUACUUGUACCGACUGGAUGAGCAGCGAACGGGUGAGUAACGCGUGGGGAAUCUGCCUUUGAGCGGGGGACAACAUUUGGAAACGAAUGCUAAUACCGCAUAACAACUUUAAACACAAGUUUUAAGUUUGAAAGAUGCAAUUGCAUCACUCAAAGAUGAUCCCGCGUUGUAUUAGCUAGUUGGUGAGGUAAAGGCUCACCAAGGCGAUGAUACAUAGCCGACCUGGGAGGGUGAGCGGCCACAUUGGGACUGAGACACGGCCCAAACUCCGACCGGAGGCAGCAGUAGGGAAUCUUCGGCAAUGGACGAAAGUCUGACCGAGCAACGCCGCGUGAGUGAAGAAGGUUUUCGGAUCGUAAAACUCUGUUGGUAGAGAAGAUCGUUGGUGAGAGUGGAAAGCUCAUCAAGUGACGGUAACUACCCAGAAAGGGACGGCUAACUACGUGCCAGCCGCCGCGGUAA
rnacentral:rRNA from 1 species